AGCGCUGAAUUGUGUAGCUUCAAGGUUUUGUGUCAGUUACAUAUUUUUGUGUCUGGCAUUUGAAUCUUAAUUUCUGACUACGAUAGCAGUUUAGAACACUUUUUGCUCUAAGUGAAACCUGACAAUAUUUACACCCUGAAUUGCUAUCAAACCUUUGCAAACAAUUAUAACCCAGAAGGUCAAAUAACCACAACAAAUAGUAGAGGCUGAAGAACAAACUGAGUCAUGCCCUUUAUCAAGUUUUUUUCUUCUUUUCUUUGAACUGUUCUACUGCUUUCUCGUAAAUUUGCUAAAAAUAGAACAGCAGAGCACCCACUAAAUUUGCUAAAAACAAAGCUAGGAGUUCAAUCAUGCUAUUUCAAUUUGUUCCCAUAUAUACAGUUUUCAUCGUAUUGCUGAGGAGACUAAUUGGUUUCCUAAUCAGAUCUACCAGGAGGUCUACAGAGAGGAGGAAUCUCAUAUACCAGAACUUCUCGACGUACAACAACCGAAAUGAUGUUGAUAAUUUGGAGAGUUCAAGACAAUCAUAUGAGAUACAGCCCUAUGUGCACAUGCCUUAUAUCAACAUGAACCUUAUAGGCCUUCAUGGUGUCUGAAUUCAGGAUACUAUCAGCCCUGCACUGAAGUGAUAGCUCCUGAAUAUAACAAUCAUCAUGAAUGCUAGGAUAUGUCAAGCUUAUUUAUGUCUCCAUUCUAUCCUCAACAAACACAAUCUUAUGGUAGUCUCACGGUGAUGAAAAUGUCUAAAUUGGAAGAGCAACUGGAACGUGCUUUCUGAAGAUAAUCACCAGAGAGCCAAAUUGGUAUGCACAACAAUGUGUGUGUGUGUGUGUGUGUGUGUGUUCUCGAUGGUUUGUUGCUAUAUGAAUCUGGAUCAGCAUACCCAUACCGUUUCCUGAAACCAGCCAAUUGAUUCAUGUGGGACUACAUGUGCGCCAUAAUAUCCUUUCCAUUUUUCCUUGUGAUUGAUGGGUGACCUUUUGGUGGAGUCGGCCAUUUUAUUUCUUGGAUCACUAAACUGAACAGAGAAAACUAUUUUCUGUUUUCAAAUGUUGUAGAUCGAAAUGUCAUAAUAUCCGGCAGAACCUUUUCGUUUUGCCAUCUAACCAGAUGGAAUCACAACUACCACUACCGCUAACUUUGGAUGACGCAAGUCAACUCCAACCUAGCACCAGAUACUGUAGAGGAGGGAGAUUGGCUAUGCUUUGGUUGGUGCUCAAAGUAUUUGUUUGAUCUGUGUUGGCAGGACAGCACAUUGCGAAGAGGCCCUAUGGGCAGCGGGCAGAGGCACUGGAAAUUUUCUUAGUAGGUAGUGCAUAAGCAAGUUAAGCCCUAUGAUGUCCUGCACUUUGAAAUUUCAGAUUCACCACUCAAGCAGGAAAAUGGAUGAAAUUUCUCAUUGAUAGGCCAAUGUAUGAUUCUAUGAUUCAUGAUAGGGUUCGACACU